rnacentral:rRNA from 1 species
AUCCAUUUAUCGGAGAGUUUGAUCCUGGCUCAGGACGAACGCUGGCGGCGUGCCUAAUACAUGCAAGUCGAGCGGACAGAUGGGAGCUUGCUCCCU